GGUGGGUAUCAUUUCACCAGCACCCUGAGCGACAGAGCAAACGGUGGUGUAACAGGCAGCAGAGAACAGCCACUGUUUUUAUUACAUUUGGCAACUCCAUCCUCCUAGGCUCUGAAGACAUCUUAAGCUGCAGGAUGACUAUGAGGAAAUACAGCACCCGGCGGAUCUAUAACAAGGACUCCCAAAAGAACAUACAAAUACGUCUUGGAAGAAGUACAACCAGAAUGAUCCUUAGAAGCAAGGAUGGUGAGACUACAUCUUACAUACUUUGGACAUGUUAUCAGGAGAGAUCAGUUCCUGGAGAAGGACAUCAUGCUUGGUAAAGUAGAGGGUCAGCGAAAAAGAGGAAGACCCUCAACAAGAUGGAUUGACACAGUGGCUGCAACAAUGGGCUCAAGCAUAACAAUGAUUGUGAGCAUGGCACAGGGCUGGGCAGCGUUUUGUUCUGUAGUAUAUAAGGUCGUUAUGAGAUGGAAGUGACUCAGUGGCACCUAACAACAACAAAUUUUUAGCGCAUAUAUAUAGGCGUGUGCAUAAGUGAUGGAUAAGGUUGCAUGUCAACUUAGCUGGGCCAUGAUUCUCAAUGGUUUGGCAGUUCUGUAAUGAUGCACUUUGGCAGUUAUGUAUUGAUGUAAUUAUCCUCCACUUUGUGAUAUUAUGUAAUCACCUCCAUGAUGUGAUCUGACGUAAGCAGCCAAUCAGUUGUAAGGGGAAUUUCCUUGGGGGUGUGGCCUGCAUCUAAUACAUAUGGAGGUACUGGCAAAACUCACAGGCUUUUGCUUGCUUCUGCAUUUAGCUCAUCAUCAUCUGGCCUCCAGUUCUUGGAACUUGAGGCAGUAGCCUGCUGUACUGACUGCUGGUCUUGGAUUCGUCAGCCCCUGCAGCUACCUAAGUUAGGAGAAGCCUCCAACCUGAUGCCUAACCCGCAAACUUGGGAUUUGCCAGCCUCUACAACAGCAUGAGCCAUUUUCGUGAGAUAAAUACAUCUCUCUUUCUCUCUCUUUAUAUAUAUAUAUAUAUAAACCAAACCUGUUCCAUUGAGUCAAUUCCGACUCAUAGCAACUUUGUAGGACAGAGUACAACCAUCCCAUAGUGUUCCCAAGGAGUGGCUGGUGGAUUUGAGCUGCUGACCUUUUGCAUGGUAGCCAGUGCUCUUAACCACUGUACCACCAGGGCCAAACACACACACACACACACACACACACUUCAUUAGUUUUGUUUCUCUAGAGACACCAGCCUAAGACAUUUGGUACUGAGAAUUGUUCUAGAGAAAAAAUUGUAAGGAUGAGUUUUCAAAAUUGGUUCUCAAAUUUGGUUAGUCUUUUUUUUUUUUUU